rnacentral:rRNA from 1 species
GCACAUUGCGCCCCUUGGUAUUCCGAGGGGCAUGCCUAUUCGAGCGUCAUUAUCACCCCUCAAGCCUAGCUUGGUGUUGAGACCUGCUGUCAAGGCAGUCUCUAAAAUCAGUGGCAGUGCUGUCAGGCUCUAAGCGUAGUAAAUUCAUCGCUAUAGACACCUGGUGGCCACUCGCCAGAACCCCCCCAUUUUUUAAUGAUUGACCUCGGAUUAGGUAGGGAUACCCGCUGAACUUAAGCAUAUCAAUAAGCGGAGGAAAAGAAACCAACAGGGAUUGCCUCAGUAACGGCGAGUGAAGCGGCAAAAGCUCAAAUUUGAAAUCUGGCUCUUUUAGGGUCCGAGUUGUAAUUUGUAGAAGAUGUUUCGGGUGUGGCUCCGGUUUAAGUUCUUUGGAAUAUUACAUCAUAGAGGGUGAGAAUCCCGUAUGUGACCGGCAGCCUUCGCCUAUGUGAAACUCUUUCGACGAGUCGAGUUGUUUGGGAAUGCAGCUCAAAAUGGGAGGUAUAUUUCUUCUAAAGCUAAAUAUUGGCCAGAGACCGAUAGCGCACAAGUAGAGUGAUCGAAAGAUGAAAAGCACUUUGGAAAGAGAGUUAAACAGUACGUGAAAUUGUUGAAAGGGAAGCGCUUGCAACCAGACUUGCACGCAGUUGAUCAUCCGGUGUUCCCACCGGGGCACUCUGCUGCGUUCAGGCCAGCAUCGGUUUUGGUGGUUGGAUAAAGGCCUUGGGAAUGUGGCUUCCUUCGGGGAGUGUUAUAGCCCUCGGUGCAAUGCAGCCU